rnacentral:lncRNA from 1 species
ACGUAAGCAUCAAUAAUCAAUACCGUGUGCUACUAUGAAACCACGAGUAAUACUAUACUUUUACUACCGGGUAGUUCAACAAUUAAUGGUAAAACUUCCGCCGUUUUUUCAUAAAGUAUUUUUGUCGUUUUCUGAAUCCGAUAAUAAUUCCGUUGUGGGGUCCACCAAUGAUUGUGCCGUUGUACGAAUAUUCCCUGUUAAAAUGAAUAUUCCCCGACCAAUCGAAUAUUAUAUAACAACUUGCGUACUUUGCAAAAUUUGUUAAUAUUACCCACAACUAUAACAUUAU